UAACCUAGCGGCGGACGGGUGAGUAACACGUAGGCAACCUGCCCACAAGACAGGGAUAACUACCGGAAACGGUAGCUAAUACCCGAUACAUCCUUCUCCUGCAUGGGAAAAGGAGGAAAGACGGAGCAAUCUGUCACUUGUGGAUGGGCCUGCGGCGCAUUAGCUAGUUGGUGGGGUAAAGGCCUACCAAGGCGACGAUGCGUAGCCGACCUGAGAGGGUGAUCGGCCACACUGGGACUGAGACACGGCCCAGACUCCUACGGGAGGCAGCAGUAGGGAAUCUUCCGCAAUGGGCGAAAGCCUGACGGAGCAACGCCGCGUGAGUGAUGAAGGUUUUCGGAUCGUAAAGCUCUGUUGCCAGGGAAGAACGUCUCAUAGAGUAACUGCUAUGAGAGUGACGGUACCUGAGAAGAAAGCCCCGGCUAACUACGUGCCAGCAGCCGCGGUAAUACGUAGGGGGCAAGCGUUGUCCGGAAUUAUUGGGCGUAAAGCGCGCGCAGGCGGCUCUUUAAGUCUGGUGUUUAAUCCCGAGGCUCAACUUCGGGUCGCACUGGAAACUGGAGAGCUUGAGUGCAGAAGAGGAGAGUGGAAUUCCACGUGUAGCGGUGAAAUGCGUAGAG
rnacentral:rRNA from 1 species